rnacentral:rRNA from 1 species
AUGCCAAUGCCCGGAUGUGAUAGAAUAGAUAGACAUCCCAACGCUGCCACAAGAAAAGAAAAUACUCCACACAUCUCAUGUGAAAGAAAUAGGCCUAUCUCAGGCCUGUGUCACUGUCCGAAUCUGCUUCCGCUAAGUGCAGUGCUUGCGUGCACACAUCUUAUGUGCGAUCGAUGCGCCAACAUGAGCUCAAGACCAUGCCAGGUUCCCACACAGAAUCAAUUCCAUUGGAGUCGGACACGCUUGUUCGUCUGCUACACGUACCAGCCAUGUGUAUUUGUCCACCUGCUCCAUUUUCUGACGACAUUGCUCUCCACUGACAGCUACUCCUACUUGUGA